AUUGUCGUUGCCAUCUCUCCGCCACCCCACCCGGCUGUGGCGGUGGUGACGAGACGAGACGAGACGAGCGAGGCGAGGCGAGGCGAGUCGGGGAGUACUACUGACUGAGUGGAGAAGUAGGUGGGAGUAGAGUGCAGGUGGGGUAGUGAGAUGGUGGAGAGGAGAGGGAGGUGGUGAUGAGUGGCGUGUGAGGAGUAGGGUGCGUGGGCGUAGGAAAGCAGAAGAGACGUGGUGGUGUGAGGCGAUGUGUGGUGAUGGAGACG
rnacentral:snRNA from 1 species